rnacentral:rRNA from 1 species
UACGUAGGGUGCAAGCGUUGUCCGGAAUUAUUGGGCGUAAAGAGCUCGUAGGCGGUCUGUCGCGUCUGCUGUGAAAACUCAGGGCUUAACCCUGAGCUUGCAGUGGGUACGGGCAGACUAGAGUGCGGUAGGGGAGACUGGAAUUCCUGGUGUAGCGGUGAAAUGCGCAGAUAUCAGGAGGAACACCGGUGGCGAAGGCGGCUUUGCUGGGCCUUACCUGACGCUGAGGAGCGAAAGCGUGGGGAGCGAACAGG